GGCUUAACACAUGCAAGUCGAGCGGGCGAGGGUGCUUGCACCUUAGCUUAGCGGCGGACGGGUGAGUAAUGCUUAGGAAUCUGCCUAUUAGUGGGGGACAACAUUCCGAAAGGGAUGCUAAUACCGCAUACGCCCUACGGGGGAAAGCAGGGGAUCUUCGGACCUUGCGCUAAUAGAUGAGCCUAAGUCGGAUUAGCUAGUUGGUGGGGUAAGGGCCUACCAAGGCGACGAUCUGUAGCGGGUCUGAGAGGAUGAUCCGCCACACUGGGACUGAGACACGGCCCAGACUCCUACGGGAGGCAGCAGUGGGGAAUAUUGGACAAUGGGGGGAACCCUGAUCCAGCCAUGCCGCGUGUGUGAAGAAGGCCUUUUGGUUGUAAAGCACUUUAAGCGAGGAGGAGGCGCUCUAGGAUAAUACCCUAGAUGCGUGGACGUUACUCGCAGAAUAAGCACCGGCUAACUCUGUGCCAGCAGCCGCGGUAAUACAGAGGGUGCGAGCGUUAAUCGGAUUUACUGGGCGUAAAGCGCGCGUAGGUGGCUAAUUAAGUCAAAUGUGAAAUCCCCGAGCUUAACUUGGGAAUUGCAUUCGAUACUGGUUAGCUAGAGUAUGGGAGAGGAUGGUAGAAUUCCAGGUGUAGCGGUGAAAUGCGUAGAGAUCUGGAGGAAUACCGAUGGCGAAGGCAGCCAUCUGGCCUAAUACUGACACUGAGGUGCGAAAGCAUGGGGAGCAAACAGGAUUAGAUACCCUGGUAGUCCAUGCCGUAAACGAUGUCUACUAGCCGUUGGGGCCUUUGAGGCUU
rnacentral:rRNA from 1 species